rnacentral:rRNA from 1 species
GACGAACCGUGCGAACGUUAUUCGGAAUCACUGGGCUUAAAGCGCGUGUAGGCGGGCGGGUGCGUCGGCCGUUGAAAGCCCCCGGCUCAACCGGGGAACGGGCGCCGAAACGACCCGCCUGGAGGGACGUAGGGGGACCUGGAACUUCCGGUGGAGCGGUGAAAUGCGUUGAGAUCGGAAGGAACGCCCGUGGCGAAAGCGGGGUCCUGGACGUCUGCUGACGCUGAGACGCGAAAGCCAGGGGA